rnacentral:rRNA from 1 species
UGCAGUCGAGCGGUAAGGCCCUUCGGGGUACACGAGCGGCGAACGGGUGCUAUACACGUGGGCAACCUGCCCUGCACUCUGGGAUAACCUCGGGAAACCGGGGCUAAUACCGGAUACGACCUUCCCCCGCAUGGGGGUGGGUGGAAAGUUCCGGCGGUGCAGGAUGGGCCCGCGGCCUAUCAGCUUGUUGGUGGGGUAAUGGCCUACCAAGGCGACGACGGGUAGCCGGCCUGAGAGGGCGACCGGCCACACUGGGACUGAGAUACGGCCCAGACUCCUACGGGAGGCAGCAGUGGGGAAUAUUGCGCAAUGGGCGAAAGCCUGACGCAGCGACGCCGCGUGAGGGAUGACGGCCUUCGGGUUGUAAACCUCUUUCAGCGCCGAAGAAGCGAAAGUGACGGUAGGCGCAGAAGAAGCACCGGCUAACUACGUGCCAGCAGCCGCGGUAAUACGUAGGGUGCGAGCGUUGUCCGGAAUUAUUGGGCGUAAAGAGCUCGUAGGCGGUUUGUCGCGUCGACUGUGAAAACCUACAGCUUAACUGUGGGCGUGCAGUCGAUACGGGCAGACUUGAGUUCGGUAGGGGAGACUGGAAUUCCUGGUGUAGCGGUGGAAUGCGCAGAUAUCAGAGGAACACCGGUGGCGAAGGCGGGUCUCUGGGCCGAUACUGACGCUGAGGAGCGAAAGCGUGGGGAGCGAACAGGAUUAGAUACCCUGGUAGUCCACGCCGUAAACGGUGGGCGCU